CCUANGGGGGGCUGCAGUGGGGAAUUUUGGACAAUGGGCGCAAGCCUGAUCCAGCCAUUCCGCGUGCAGGAUGAAGGCCUUCGGGUUGUAAACUGCUUUUGUACGGAACGAAACGGUCUGCCCUAAUACGGCGGGCUAAUGACGGUACCGUAAGAAUAAGCACCGGCUAACUACGUGCCAGCAGCCGCGGUAAUACGUAGGGUGCAAGCGUUAAUCGGAAUUACUGGGCGUAAAGCGUGCGCAGGCGGUUAUAUAAGACAGAUGUGAAAUCCCCGGGCUCAACCUGGGAACUGCAUUUGUGACUGUAUAGCUAGAGUACGGCAGAGGGGGAUGGAAUUCCGCGUGUAGCAGUGAAAUGCGUAGAUAUGCGGAGGAACACCGAUGGCGAAGGCAAUCCCCUGGGCCUGUACUGACGCUCAUGCACGAAAGCGUGGGGAGCAAACAGGAUUAGAUACCCUUNUANUC
rnacentral:rRNA from 1 species